rnacentral:rRNA from 1 species
UACGGAAGGCAGCAGUGGGGAAUAUUGCACAAUGGGCGCAAGCCUGAUGCAGCCAUGCCGCGUGUAUGAAGAAGGGCCUUCGGGUUGUAAAGUACUUUCAGUCGUGAGGAAGGUGUUAAGGUUAAUAACCUUAGCAAUUGACGUUAGCGACAGAAGAAGCACCGGCUAACUCCGUGCCAGCAGCCGCGGUAAUACGGAGGGUGCGAGCGUUAAUCGGAAUUACUGGGCGUAAAGGGCACGCAGGCGGUUAAUUAAGUUGGAUGUGAAAUCCCCGGGCUUAACCUGGGAAUGGCAUUCAAGACUGGUUAGCUAGAGUCUUGUAGAGGGGGUAGAAUUCCAUGUGUAGCGGUGAAAUGCGUAGAGAUGUGGAGGAAUACCGGGUGGCGAAGGCGGCCCCUGGGACAAAGGACUGACGCUCAUGUGCGAAAGCGUGGGGAGCGAAACAGGAUUAGAUACC